rnacentral:SRP_RNA from 1 species
GCCGGGCGCGCUGGCGCGUGCCUGUAGUCCCAGCUACUUGGGAGGCGGAGGUGGGAGGAUCGCUUGAGCCCGGGAGUUCUGGGCUGUAGUGUGCUAUGCCGAUAGGGUGUCUGCACUAAGUUCGGCAUCAAUAUGGUGACCUCUCGGGAGCCGGGGGUCGCCAGGUUGCCUAAGGGGGGCGGAAACGGAGCAGGUCAAAACUCCCGUGCUGAUCAGUAGUGGGAUCGCGCCUGUGAAUAGCCACUGCACUCCAGCCUGGGCAACAUAGUGAGACCCUGUCUCUU